UUGGAACACACUUUUAGGUAUUCAACUUCUUGUGGGGUUAGGUUUUGAUGAUUGAGGCUGGAUAUUUGUACAAACUGACCAUACAUUUUUACUUGCCUUUGCAUAAACUGUUGUCCUAGAGAGCAUAGACACUGAAAACAGCACAACAGGCAGAUUAUAGUUAUAACAAUUCCAAUUAAGCUUAAUACAAAAGGUCUAAGCCAUCCUGUAAGGGAAGGUAACCAAUUUGUGAGCCAACUAAGAGAUGUAUCUUUGGGGAUUUUUGCUAUAUCUUCGGCUUUUUGGAUAUGGACAGCUGCAUCAUUGAGGUGGGUUUGUACUAUUGUAAAAGAACUGUUAACCCAAACGCAACAUUCUGGUCCGAUAACUGCGCAAGCUCCCCCUUGAGCAGCGAGGAGAAAAUCAAGGGCUAUACGGUUUUGAAUUACCAUUUGUCUAAGUUCUUCUUGGGUGUCAGCCAAGGCAGCAACGGCCUUCGAGAGUUCCUUGUGACCUUCACUGAAUUCAUGAGCCAUGAUUUCUAUCACAGCUUGUAGGCGAAGUGUAAAACUUCUAAGACAAGCAGUGCCUACUCCUGGGAGUAUACCUGCUAAAGAACACCCGACUAACACUCCUUUGGGAGCCAGUGAACAGGGACUGCCAACAGGGGAGCAGUUUGCAGGCAGUUCAUAGGCCAGUCAUGGGAAGGAUUGCAUGGGAGUUUCUGACAGAGACUUCAGGACAAGACUCCUGACGGAGAAGCUGUGAGGGAAUGCCCUGAAGCAGGUGCUGGUUGAGUGACCUCCUACUUCAGGCUUUAAACUAAGGGGAGGCAGGAGAUGGAGAGAGUCUAGAACCUACAAACUGCGAGACAUGCAGCAGUACACCCCAGGUUCUUAGAUGGGUGUGGAAAAGACUUACCUCCAUCUGACGAGGAGAGGAGCCAGUGGGACACCGCGCCAGAAGUGGAGCGCAGUGAAAGUGAAACCAUGGCAUUCCUGUCUGCCACAGUGAAGAAAGAAGAGAAAAAGAAAAUGCUGAGUUGAAAGGGGACAGGAUCGUCUCCUACGUUGGUGUGGGCACAUUUCACAACAGCGUGCCAGGGCCAAUUUGCCUCCCAGAACCCCGAAGCCAGGAUAAAAGGCCCAGCAAGGAAUCAGGAGGGAGGACCAGAAGCGAGGUUCUCAACCGGCCUGGAGGAGCCAGAUGCUGAAAGCAGUCCCAGCUCAGGGACGUGGUGGAUACCCCAGGAUGGGGCUUCUUUGAAGAGUCAGAGCCAGAGAUGACUCUACAGCUUACUAGAGGAUACUCCAUGGACAUCGGAGAUCCACAGCACAAACUGGAUCUCGGCAGAAUCAGAUAGAGAAAGGACCACAGUCUACACAGUCAGAUGGACCACAAAUUGGCUGAGGGACCGCACCCAGAGAAUGGUGGUGGACGGGUCAUAUUCGACCUGGAGGGAUGUGGCCAGUGGAGUCCCCCAGGGCUCGGUCCUCAGGCCUGCACUGUUCAAUUUCUUUAUUAGUGACUUGGACAAGGGGAUGAAAAGCACCCUGUUCAAAUUCGCUGAUGACACCAAGAUUUGGGAUGAGGUAGGCACGCUAGAAGGGAGGGACAACUCGACCUGGACAGGUGACAGGGGUGGGCGAAUGAGAAUAGGAUGGGAUUCAAUAAUGACAAGUGCAGGGUACUGCACUUGGGCAGUAAGAACCAGUAGCAUACCUAUAGGUUGGGGCAUUCCCUUCUUGAAAUCACAGUUGCAGAAAGAGAUCUUGGAGUCAUUAUCUAUUUCAAAAUGAACAUGGGCUGCCAAUGUGAGGAUGCAGUCAGUAAGGCUAACCACACCUUGUCAUACAUGCACAGAUGCAUCACAGUCAGGGCCAAGGAGGUGAUCCUCCCCCUCUAUGCAACACUGGUCAGGCCACAGUUGGAGUACUGCAUCCAGUUCUGGGCGCAGCACUUUAGGAGGGAUAUGGCCAGCAUCAAGGUCCAGAGGAAGGCCACUCACAUGAUCCAGGGACAGCAGGGUAGACCCUACAAAGAAAGGCUAUGGGACCUGAACCUGUUCAGCCUCCACAAGAGAAGGCUAAGAGGGGAUCUGGUGGCCAUCUAUAAACUUACCAGGGGGGACCAGCAGGGAAUGGGAGAGACCCUGUUCCCCUGAGCACCUCCUGGAGUAACAAUAAAUAACAGCUGUAAGUUGUUUGAGAGUAGGUUCAGGCUGGACAUUAGAAGGCACUACUUCACAGUCAGGGUGGCUAGGAUCUGGAACCAACUUCCAAGGGAAGUGGUGCUGGCUUCUACCUUGGGGGUCUUUAAGAGGAAGCUUGCUAAUUACCUAGCUGGGGUCAUAUGAGCCCAGUAUUCUCUCCUGCUCAUGGCAGGGGGUCGGACUUGAUGAUCUGCUUAGGUCCCUUCCAACCCUACAUCUAUGAAUCUGUGACCAAUGGACAACCGACCCAUGGUAGGGAGAAAACUCGUCAAGAGUGGGACGCCAGGGAAUACGACGGGCUGGGACUGACAAGAUGCAAGAAUAAGGCAAGAUGCGGCAGAGAAUAACUGGGUCAAAGAAACAUUCCGAUCACACUGUAAUAAAUCCAAAGGGCCAAGACACCAAAGGGUGCGUAAUACUAAUCCUGGCGGCCCAGGCAACACAAUCUUUGGUUGGUGUUCGGCGGGGUGUAGGGGAGGCAGACUGCCAAGCAGGAAGGACAAUCAGAACAACUGAAGGAAGGUACGUAGAGGGACGGGAUAGAUCAUCUUCCUUCCCAUUAAAAUUAAUUUUCCAGCAAAGAUGUGGCAGGAGAGACCCCCUGGGGUACCAACUGAGGUCUAUUCCAUUAAUAAGCCUGUUCCUUCCUUAAAGCGAUGGCGAAGCCAGAAAAAUCCACACAGACUUGACGCACAGGUGAAAGCCACGGAAAAUUACAAUGGGCAUCAGAGGGACACCAGCCCACCAACUGUCGAUGCUGACUUGGUGCAGAGUCACUUGGAUGGACUGGAAGUGUUUAAGUCAGCAGGCCUGGAUGAGCUUCAUGCGAAAGUACUGAAGGAAUUGGUCGGUGUUAUAGCAGAACCACUGACAUGGCUGUUUGAGUGCUCGUGGCGCUCUGGUCAGGUCCCAGAGGACUGGAAAAGGGCCAGUGAGGUACCUAUUUUCAAGAAAGGAAGGAAGGAGGAUCUGAGUAAUUAUAGGCCGGGCAGUUUCACCUCCAUCCUUGGAAAGGUCUUUGAAAAGAUUAUGAAGGAUCAUAUCUGUGGGAGUCCAGCGGGAAAAAUAAUGCAGCAGAGAAACCAGCCUGGAUUCGUAGCAGGUAGAUCAUGCCGACCAAUCUGGUUUGUUUUUAUGACAGGGUCACAAAAUGCUUAGAGGCAGGAGUAGAGAUAGAUGUCGUUUUCUUGGAUUUUAACAAGGCCUUCAAUAUGGUAUCUCAUCCCAUUCUCAUAAGUAAUUAAGAGGCUGUGACAUAGUGUUUACACAAUUUGGUGGGUGGCAAAUUGGCUUAGCAGUCGCACCCAGAGAGUGGUAGGAGACAGGUAGGUAUCAACCUGGAAGGAUGUGGGUAGUGGGGUCCUGCAGGGUUUGGUCCUUGGACAUGUACUCUUCAAUAUCUUCAUCAGUGACUUGGAUGUGAAGUGUACUCUGUCCAAGUUUGCGGGCAAUACUAAAUUGUGGGGUGAAGUGCACACUCUGGAGGGUAGGGAACGAUUGCAAGCAGACCUGGAUAGGUUAGAAAAGUGGGCAGUACACAAUAGGAUGCAGUACAACAAGGACAAGUUCAGAGUGCUGCCCCCAGGGUGCAAAAGUAUCCACCACACCUACUGGCUGGGAAGUGACCCUCUCAGCAGCACAGAAGCGGAAAGGGAUCUCAGAGUCAUAGUGAACUCCAAGAUGAACAUGAGUCAUCAGUGAGAUGAAAUCAUCAGGAAAGCUAACCCCACUUUAUCAUGCAUCAGCAUAUGCAUGACAAAUAAAACCAAGGUGAUACUUUCCCUCUAUGCAGCAUUGGUCAGACCGCAGUUGGAGUGCUGCAUCCAGUUUUGGGCACCGUACUUCUAGAAGGAUGUUGAUAGACUUGAGUGGGUCCAGAGGAGGGCCCUUGUAUGGCUAGGGGCUUACAGGUUCCUUCUGACCCUAGCAUCUGUGAAUCUAUGAAUCUGUAAUUAUUAUCUAUUAUUUAAGUACUUUUACUUAGUUUGUCUUUUUAUUUUAUUUUGAUAAAAAGUACUGCCUUCCCUGUUAAUAAAAGUUUUGUAAUUUUUUUGUCUAUAUAUAUGUGUGUCAUGUUUUAUUUUGUGGGCAGAUUGACAUGUCUAAUGGGGCCUGUGUGGGGUAGGUUGGCAGACCUGAUGACCAUGCCUUCCUCAGCCAGCAUGGGGAUGCUUUGCUUUGGUGGGGCCAUUUAUGGAGUCAUGGAAUUAUUGGGAAAGAGUUGCAGCAUGAGCUGUUAUGGGAGGCUGAAUGCUUGUUCCCCCCCACCCAUCCCAAUGUACACUGAUCCUGGUGAGCCUGUGGUUGAAGCCAGAACCUGCCCUCCCCCACCCACUCCCCCUGCAGCCCCAGCCCCAGUGGGAAGCAGGGAAGAAGGCAUGCAUGGACUCUUAUGGAGGGUGAUUAGCAACUCUUUCUUGUAUUAUAAUGCAUGGUACCCGGGUGGGGGGUGUCCCCUCAGAACCUGGAGCAUCUUCAAACAGCUUUUUUUCUGCCCAUCCAUCUCUCUCCCUGCUUCCAAACCACAGCUGACCACAGGGAGCCAGGUAGUGCAGGUAAUGGCAGAGCAACUUAUUGUUAGAUGUUCAGUUGUUUUGGUCCUACCACCACUGGUGGUAGUGUAUGUGCUACCCCCACUGUGCUCAUGUUCCAUCCAGCACCAGUUCCCCCCACCCACUGCCACUGCACCCAGGAUGAUGUUCAGCGCAAAGCACAGCGGCAUCUCCAGAAUGGUAAGUUUGCAACAGAGUGUGGUAGCUCUUAACCCUUCAAUAUUUCAAACCUUCCUAUUUCUUAUAAUUCCCAUUCCCAUUGCAGUACCCUCUCCCCCUGCCCACUGCUCCCACCACCGCUGUGUUUAGCACUGCCCAGCAAAGCAGGAUCAGCAGAAUGGUAAGUUUCCAACUUUCUGGAGUUUGGCACCUACCUACCUACCUAACCCUUAAGCCUUUCAAACCUUCCAGAACCACACCAAUUAGUCAAGGUGGACGCUGCCUGCCAGAUCAUCCCCCCAGACUAUGAAGCAUCUCUGGUGAUAUAUAGGUAAUAAAUGUCCCAAUGAGCGGGGGAGGGGGUGUUCUGUGUCCGGUGUUUCAACUUUUGUUGGUUCAAAUCCCCGUUUCUUCUUUUUUCUUCUCCUCCCUGCAGAACACUAGGGACAUGAGAGAGAGAAAAUUUUCAAUACUGAUACUAUCAAGAAGCCACCUUUUUCAUUAGUGUUAUAAAGUUCAGAAAUUUGAAAUUGUGUCAGUUGUUCCUCCUCCACCUCCAGCCAAUCUGUGCUUCUCUCUGGAGUUGAGGGGGGAAACUGACACUGGGAUCAAGUGUAGGGUGACUUGCUGUUGUUCUUGGCAGUGCCAGUUCCCCGGGAGCACAGAUCAGUCUCUUUACUCCUUCAACAUGCUCAUAGUAAACUUGCAGGAGGAGCUGCCUCUUUUGAUGUGCUCUCCUCCUCCUCCUGCUCCUCCUCCUCAACCCCAGUCCCAAAAGUCAGCAUAACCGGAGUGUUGCCCCUAUCCUUGGAAAGAAUGAUGGCCAUCUGGUCAUAGAGCAAGAGUUGGCAUCUUUGGCAUGGUAAAAUGCAGAUCUCAGGGCCUUGAUCUUGCACCAGACCUGGAUCCAGUCAUGAUUGUGCCCUUGAGUGACAUGAACAGAAUUAUUCCUUCUAUUUUCCAGCCUGUCUAUGAUGCUUUGCUCCUACCAAAUGUCAAUUAAGUCCUGUAGUUCUUCCUGGGUUCAGUUGGGUCCACGUAUGUUGGAGGUAUCAGUCUCCUGCUCCGUGAUCACCAUACUGCUGGCCUUCACUUUCUGAGACAUGGGGAAGCAGCUCGUGGUCAACAGCAAGUGAUUCACAAAAGGUUACGAAACGCCUGGACACAGGAGGAGGGGUGGAUGUCGUAUACUUAGACUUCAGGAAGACCUUCGAUACAGUAUCCCACCCCAUACUGGUGAACAAGUUAAGAGGCUGUGACUUGGAUGACUACACAGUCUGGUGGGUGGCGAAUUGGCUAGAGGGUCGCACCCAGAGAGUUGUGGUGGAUGGGUCGGUUUUGACCUGGAAGGGUGUGGGCGGUGGGGUCCCGCAGGGCUCAGUCCUUGGACCGAUACUCUUUAAUGUCUUCAUCAGCGACUUGGACGAGGGAGUGAAAUGUACUCUGUCCAAGUUUGCAGAUGACACAAAGCUAUGGGGAAAAGUGGACACGCUGGAGGGCAGGGAACAGCUGCAAACAGGCCUGGACAGGUUGGAUAAGUGGGCAGAAAACAACAGGAUGCAGUUCAACAAGGAGAAAUGCAAAGUGCUGCACCUAGGGAGGAAAAAUGUCCAGCACACCUACAGCCUAGGAAAUGACCUGCUGGGUAGCACAGAGGUGGAAAGGGAUCUUGGAGUCCUAGUGGACUCCAAGAUGAACAUGAGUCGGCAGCGUGACGAAGCCAUCAGAAAAGCCAAUGGCACUUUAUCAUGC